rnacentral:rRNA from 1 species
UCGGUGAAACGUUUUAACAGCUGCGGUAUUUUAACUGUACUAAGGUAGCAUAAUAAUUUGCCUUAUAAUUUGAGGCUAGAAUGAAUGGUUUGACGAAGGUUAAUCUGUCUCCACUUUAUUUUUUAGAAAUUAAUUUUCAUAGUGAAAAAGCUUGAAUUUUUUAAGGGGACGAGAAGACCCUACUGAGCUUAUAAUUUUAUUAAAACAUAUAUUCAUAUAUAUUGUGUUAUAUAAAUUUUAAUUGGGGUGAUUAAGGAAUAAUAUUAUUAUAUAUGUAACUUCCUUAGAAAUAUUAUAUUGUUGAAUAAAGUAACCGAUAAAUUAAUAUAAUUAUUAUGUAUUGCUUAUAAUAUAGUUACCAUAGGGAUAACAGCGUAAUUUACUUAGAGAGUUCUUAUUGAAAAGUAAGAUUGCGACCUCGAUGUUGGAUUAAAGUAACCUUAAGGUGCAGAAGCUUUAUGGGGUAAAUCUGUUCGAUUUU